GCUCUGGAGAGGUUAAAUGGAAACCUGUGGCUCAAUGAGACGUCCCUAAAGCUCAUCAGUAAGGGGGGGAAAGUGACCUCCCUGACGGUGUCCCCAGUUGUUGAGAACAAGCUCACGCUACAGUAUGGAGGCUCUGUUCAGGCAUGGACUCUAAGAGUUGACCCACGUACAAAAUUCACUAAGAUCCGAGGCCUCCAGAAACCC